UGCCUUAGGCAUGCAAGUGGAGCGGAGUGUAGCAAUACACUAAGCCGCGAACGGCUGAGUAUAAGAUAGGAAUCUACCCAAUGGUGUGGAAUACCUCAUCGAAAGAUGAGCUAAUACCGCAUGACCCCGCAAGGGAAAAGCGCUUAACCGCGCGCCGAUGGAUGAGCCUAUCUCCCAUCAGCUAGUUGGUAGGGUAAUGGCCUACCAAGGCUAUUACGGGUAGGGGGCGUGAGAGCGUAACCCCCCAGAAUGGGACUGAGACACGGCCCAUACACCUACGGGUGGCAGCAACCGGGUUUCGUGCGCAAUGGACGCAAGUCUGACGCCGCAACACCGCGUGACAUGAAGGCCUUCGGGUCGUAAACUUC
rnacentral:rRNA from 1 species